UCAGGAUGAACGCUGGCGGCGUGCUUAACACAUGCAAGUCGAACGGAGUUUUAACGGAAGUUUCGGAUGGAAGUUUAGAAACUUAGUGGCGGACGGGUGAGUAACGCGUGGGUAACCUGCCUCAUACAGGGGGAUAACAGUUAGAAAUGACUGCUAACACCGCAUAAUAUAGCGAAACCGCAUGAUUUUGCUAUCAAAUAUUUAUAGGUAUGAGAUGGGCCCGCGUCUGAUUAGCUAGUUGGUGGGGUAAAGCCUACCAAGGCGACGAUCAGUAGCCGGCUUGAGAGAGUGACCGGCCACAUUGGGACUGAGACACGGCCCAAACUCCUACGGGAGGCAGCAGUGGGGAAUAUUGGACAAUGGGGGAAACCCUGAUCCAGCGAACCGCCGCGUGAGUGAAGAAGUAUUUCGGUAUGUAAAGCUCUAUCAGCAGGGAAGAUAAUGACAGUACCUGACUAAGAAGCCCCGGCUAACUACGUGCCAGCAGCGGC
rnacentral:rRNA from 1 species